GACGAACGCUGGCGGCGUGCCUAAUACAUGCAAGUAGAACGCAGUUGCGAACGGGUGAGUAACGCGUAGGUAACCUGCCUCAUAGCGGGGGAUAACUAUUGGAAACGAUAGCUAAUACCGCCUAUUGUGAGAUGGACCUGCGUUGUAUUAGCUAGUUGGUGAGGUAAAGGCUCACCAAGGAGACGAUACGUAGCCGACCUGAGAGGGUGAACGGCCACACUGGGACUGAGACACGGCCCAGACUCCUACGGGAGGCAGCAGUAGGGAAUCUUCGGCAAUGGACGAAAGUCUGACCGAGCAACGCCGCGUGAGUGAAGAAGGUCUUCGGAUCGUAAAGCUCUGUUGAUAGGGAAGCGGUAACUAAACAGAAAGGGACGGCUAACUACGUGCCAGCAGCCGCGGUAAUAC
rnacentral:rRNA from 1 species